UAGCUAGCUAUGAAACCAGGUUUAAUCCACCAUUUUCUACAUAAGGAAAUACCUGUACCAAGUCAGGAAUAUGACAGUUGUUUUCCAUUCGUUUGAUGUGUUUGAGCUUUUGAUUUUGCCAUUUUGAAUUUUCCUUGGAGUCGGUAUGUUUGCUAUUUCACUUUUUACAUUAUAAAUGUAAUAUUUCAUAAAACGUUCUCUUUCCAGGCAAUGUCCAUGGAAACACUUUAUUAGAUAUAGGUACUGGUCCAACAAUUCACACCGUCAUUAGUGCAUGUCCAUACGUACAAAAGAUAAUACUAUCGGAUUUUUCACAAGUUAAUAGAGACGCAUUGGAGCAUUGGAAAGAUAACAAAUUACAGACCGGAAGUGCAUUAUGUCAAUUUGUACUAGGCCUUGAAGGAGGAAAGAUUCACCAGACAGUCCCUGAACGAUUUGAAGAGAUUCGCCAGAAAAUCAAAGAAAUACUUCCGGUUGAUGUGAACAAAUGGCCUCCAAUACAGCUUGGGGAAGAUUGCCCUGAUAUAAUUGUCUCAAGUCUUUGUUUUGAAGCAGCAUGCCCAGAGGUUCCAGACUACAAUAAAAUAGUUCAGAAUGUUGGUCGUCUUAUGACCCCAGGCUGCCAUCUCGUUUUAGUCGGAGUAUUAGACCAGACAUUUUACAGAGUUGGUAAUUUCAGGUUUUCUUGUUUGAAAAUAACCGAGUCUGAUUUAAAAACGGCUUAUGCAACAAAUGGAUUUGAGAUAAAAUCUUGGAAAGAAUAUAUUCCCCCGCCAAGAAAUGCAGAGGAAGCCGAAUUUUCGGAUUUUCAGAAAGCGUUUGUGAUGCAUGCUGUCAAAUUAUAAUAAUUCGAUCAAAAGAGGAACUUGAUUGACAUGUGUAACACUGCAAUCCGAAAAUACUACAACAAUUUCGUACACACCAAAUGAGACAACACUAUGCAUUCUAGCUUCAAUACUUCAACAAUUUAGUAAAUACUUAAUUAGAUAAUUAACGUUUGCUCAAGCAUUGUAAUUAAGAUUGACAUCUGCAAACAAUAUAAAUAGGCGGAGUUGAACCUGUAUACAUUAUACUUAAAUUUGAUUGGAUGCUAUCCUGGAGGUAAGGAACAACCAAUUGUACAUGUAAACAUUACAAGACAAUAUGAGUACAGGUUUUACUCCGUCCAAUCUAUAUUGUUUGCAGAUGUCAAUCUUAAUUACAAUGCUUGAGCAAACGUUUAUACAAACAAAGCAAGCAAGCCAAACAAAGUCUUAAUCUACAAGCAUUAGGAAAUUAGCUCUAAUGUUUUCUAAAAGAAACUUAAGUUUUUGAAUUUCACAUGGCAUAACAUAAUAAGAAUCACUGAUAUCAUGCAGCUUAUUUUAUUGAGUUUUGAAUGCAAUAUGACGUUUUUUCUAGUCUUAGUUCCAGUUGGUGCAUAAGUCUAUGGUCUGUAAUAAAAGAGGAAUAACAAAUCAGAUAUGAAUACAAAUGAAAUAUAGUAGAGAUAGAAGUGUUGACAAUUGACUUAUUCAAUAUUACCGACUUUUGACCCCGGAUUAUAUAAUUUUUCGACAGGUUACCGACUCUAUGGUAGGACAUCAUGGUGCAUGGUCAAGUAAGAGCAACCAACAGAAAUAAAAUGAAGCAUAACAAAUCAGAUAUGAAUACAAAUUAAAUAAAGUACAGAUAGAAGUGUUAAUUGACUAUUUUCAUAUUUCCGACUUAUGACUUCGAUUGGAAUUUUAUUAAGGUUCUUGAUAGAUCUUGAUACUGUGUGAUGUGUUUUGUAAACUGUCAAUUGUCUCUUCAUCUUCUUUGUUGUAAUGGUCAUUUGUAUGUUUUGUUUUUACUUUUUUCCUUUGUUUUCGAUUACCACCAUAGUAUUUUCUAACUUUUGCUUUUAUCAUUCAAUUAAUUCGGUGCCAUGAGUAGUCAUUUGCACUUACAAAAGUGUUUUAUAAAUGGCUCUGAACCCAUAAUUAACAAUCGAUAAAUCAGAAUUGAAGUUAACAAUCAUUCUAUUAGUAGUAGUGGUCAACACUUGUCCUUCAUAGGGUCCACCAGAUAACUCUUUCAGAAAUGCGUCUCCAUCAUAUACCUAUACACAAAUAUAGUUUUAUUAAAAUACUAUGUUGUUUUUGUAUACUUUUAUAUCGACACUGCUGGAAAUAUUAUGAAGAUAGUGGGCAUAAGAAUUGAUGUCAUUGUUAAAGAAUAUGACGCUUACAAUCGACAACGUAUGAAUACAGAAGCACUACAGACAAUUUUUUUCUGUUUAAUCUUGUUAUAUGGUUAAAUAUAUUCUUAUCGUAUUAAUAAAAACUAUAGUUGAAAUAUA